UAACCAGGGACACAUACAGCUGUCCCAGAGGGCAGCAUGGAGGCUCCAGAUUUAGAGGAGGAGGCCAUCUGUGUGAGCUAGAGAGCUAAAGAAAGCUAGAGAAAAAUGACUUGACUCAAACUUCAGGGGCCUACCUCAAUGUGGCCAGAUCUUGAGGUACAAUUGAAAGUCCAGAUGAAGAUACCUUACAAAGCAAAAGCUUGAAGAUAAGACAACCACGGCAAAGUUUUCAGAGGAACUGAUAGUAAGAUGAUGAGGGGAGAGUCUGAAUCAUGGAUGGCUUCCCAUUUCAACUCAUUUUAUUGUCCAAAGCAGUCACAGAGAGAGAGAGAGAGAGAGAGAGAGAGGCAGAGACACAGGCAGAG